rnacentral:rRNA from 1 species
AUAAGCGGAGGAAAAGAAACUAACAAGGAUUCCCCUAGUAACUGCGAGUGAAGAGGGAAAAGCUCAAAUUUAAAAUCUGGUAGUCUAUGGCUGCCCGAGUUGUAAUCUAGAGAAGCAUUAUCCGCGCCGGACCAUGUACAAGUUUUCCUGGAAUGGAGCGUCAUAGAGGGUGAGAAUCCCGUCUUUGACAUGGGCUACCGGGGCUUUGUGAUGUGCUCUCCAAGAGUCGAGUUGUUUGGGAAUGCAGCUCUAAAUGGGUGGUAAAUUCCAUCUAAAGCUAAAUAUUGGCGAGAGACCGAUAGCGAACAAGUACCGUGAGGGAAAGAUGAAAAGAACUUUGGAAAGAGAGUUAAACAGUACGUGAAAUUGUUGAAAGGGAAACGCUUGAAGUCAGUCGCGUCUGCCAGGAAUCAACCUUGUAAUUUUGCUGGGUGUACUUUCUGGUUGACGGGUCAGCAUCAAUUUUGAUCAGUGGAAAAAGUUCAGAGGAAUGUGGCACCUUCGGGUGUGUUAUAGCCUUUGUUCGUAUACAUUGAUUGGGAUUGAGGAACUCAGCAUGCCGCAAGGCCGGGUCUUUUGACUACGUUCAUGCUUAGGAUGCUGGCAUAAUGGCUUUAAUCGACCCGUCUUGAAACACGGACCAAGGAGUCUAACAUGCCCGCGAGUGUUUGGGUGGAAAACCCAGACGCGUAAUGAAAGUGAAGGUUGAGAUCCCUGUCGUGGGGAGCAUCGACGCCCGGACCAGAACUUUUGUGACGGAUCCGCGGUAGAGCGUGUAUGUUGGGACCCGAAAGAUGGUGAACUAUGCCUGAAUAGGGUGAAGCCAGAGGAAACUCUGGUGGAGGCUCGUAGCGAUUCUGACGUGCAAAUCGAUCGUCAAAUUUGGGUAUAGGGGCGAAAGACUAAUCGAACCAUCUAGUAGC